AAGAGAAUUUUGAAAGUUACAUGCAAAUUACACUGUACUCCCUCCGUUCCAAAAAGAGCCAACCUUCCCCUCCUAGUAUAACGAAUCUGGUUCCUCUAGGUUGGUUUUUUUGGACGCUCGGAAGUAUAUGCAAGUUACAAUGUAUGUAAUUAUAUUUGCUAAAUUUUAGGAGAAAAUUUAUCAACAGAUGUAUAUCAAAAUUGAAAUAUCAGGGUGAGGCUAUAGCCGAGGGAGGCAAAAUGGACCUACACAGAUUUGGUGGAUCCGUGUGAGAAAAAUGGUCGACGGUCCAGUUCACUGUUUCCAUCCCCGGAUAGGGUCCCACGCGGCGCGGCCACACCACGGCGGCCGUCGGGUCCCACACGGCCGGCGCGAUCGCUCGCCGCGGCUCGUGGGGACGGGCCGUCAAUGGCGCCUGCAUUCGCGCCUCCAACCCCCCCCCCCCACCCCAACCCACGCGCGUGCCAACGAUCCUCUGCCUCCUCGCCGCCGGCUUCCACCGGUGGCUCCGCGUGGAGCCCGCCACCACGGGCGGGGCCGCUCUGCUCUCCGACCGGCGCCGUCGCCAGCAGCCAUGCUUCUCGAGGAACGUGGAAUAGCUCAUACUUGCUCAAGAAUCUUCGGUCUGGUUGAUUCAUGUCAGUUGUCACUUGUGAUUCGCCAUCAAAUUAUGGAGAACCUGGACAAGAUUUUGAACCUGGCAAAUAGUGAACUGACUCGGUGAAGACGCCACAGCCUGAGCAAAUUGAGUACCUUGAAAGCAAUGUCAUUCCCCUUGU